UCUCAGGUGGCUCAGUGGUAAAGAAUCUGCCUGCUAAGCAGGAGAUGCGGGUUCAAUUCUUGGGUUGGGAA
rnacentral:tRNA from 1 species